GUGGGGAAUAUUGGACAAUGGGCGAAAGCCUGAUCCAGCCAUGCCGCGUGUGUGAAGAAGGUCUUCGGAUUGUAAAGCACUUUAAGUUGGGAGGAAGGGCAUUAACCUAAUACGUUAGUGUUUUGACGUUACCAACAGAAUAAGCACCGGCUAACUUCGUGCCAGCAGCCGCGGUAAUACGAAGGGUGCAAGCGUUAAUCGGAAUUACUGGGCGUAAAGCGCGCGUAGGUGGUUCAGCAAGUUGGAGGUGAAAUCCCCGGGCUCAACCUGGGAACUGCCUCCAAAACUACUGAGCUAGAGUACGGUAGAGGGUAGUGGAAUUUCCUGUGUAGCGGUGAAAUGCGUAGAUAUAGGAAGGAACACCAGUGGCGAAGGCGACUACCUGGACUGAUACUGACACUGAGGUGCGAAAGCGUGGGGAGCAAACAGGAUUAGAAACCCGUGUAGUCC
rnacentral:rRNA from 1 species